rnacentral:lncRNA from 1 species
AUCCAGAUUAGAUACAAAAUCAGCUUCAACUUCAUUGGAUGGGAGAUCAGCCCUAUUCAAAGGUACCGUUACAAGUUCUUCAUCAACCAAAAACUCGACUAAUUUUUGUUCUUCUUACUGAAAAGCUUCCUCUUCAUGUAAAUCCAAAAUUUCAUCCAUCUCUAAUCAAGUUGGUAUGUCAUAUACCCCUCUAGGUGUUACUUUUUGUAUGACAUAACAAUU